AACUUUUGGCAACGGAUCUCUUGGUUCCCGCAUCGAUGAAGAACGCAGCAAAAUGCGAUAAGUAAUGUGAAUUGCAGAAUUCAGUGAGUCAUCGAAUCUUUGAACGCAUAUUGCGCCCUUUGGUAUUCCGAAGGGCAUGCCUGUUCGAGCGUCAUUAUCACAAUAUCAAGCUUGGCUUGUUGUUGGGCCUUUUGUCACCUGGUGACAGGCCUGAAAGACAACGACCGGUGUCAUAGACUCCAUAUGCAACGAGCUUAUAACAGCACGCAUCUGGUGGUUGUGUGACCUGUGGGCAGCCUCUGGCACCUUCUCUUUCUCAAGGUUGACCUCGGAUCAGGUAGGAAUACCCGCUGAACUUAAGCAUAUCAAUAAGCGGAGGCU
rnacentral:misc_RNA from 1 species